rfam:Triticum aestivum genome assembly, contig: Triticum_aestivum_CS42_TGACv1_scaffold_080430_1DS
GUUUUUUUUACUUGCAAGGACGGUAUCUGAGUAAGGUGGCUCUUGGAAAAGGCCAACCUCCUUGAUUAUAAAUCCUAAACUGAUCAUAAACUCUGAGCAAAAC